CCUUCCGGGACCAAGCGGCACUGCAGACGGAUAGCGCGAGAGAAAUGACGAGAAUUGGGUGCAUGUACGCGGACACGGCGCGAGGCUGUGUGGGAGCGUGAGCCGCUUAUAGCUAAGCGCGUGUGAGAUCCUCCGGCCACUCGGAGCGAAGAGAGCGCGAGAGACAGUAAGAAAGCGAGAGAGCGAAUAAGCGAGUGCGGCGCGUGCCUCUGCUCUGCUCUUCCCGCGCGCGCGCGCAACCCAGCAGCGGCAGAGCGGCGGCUCAACGGCCAGCGAUGGUGCACCAGGUGGCGGGGAAUCGGGUCCUAGUGGCCCUGGGCGCGAUGGCUUUGGGAGUCGUCGCUGUCGUGACAUGUAUAGCGGUGGCCUUUUGGGGAAAGGAAUUUGAACCAGGAAGAACAGCAAGGACCGUACCGCUCAAUGCCUCCACCAUGGCAGACUUUUUCAAAACCGACUCCAGAGCAUCCAAAGCCUUUGUGUUCCUUGCAGCUAGUGACUCUGGAGAGGAUAAGAUGGGGCCCAUUAAAUGGGAGGAGCAGCUUCAAAUGAACGUUCACCUAGACGCGAGCAAGACACAGAUUUUUUUAGAAGAGGAGGGCUUCUACCUGAUCUUUGUGCAGACUACCUUCAAGGUUCCAAUUACAAAGACCACGCCACUGGUUCUUAAGGUGAAAUUCAAGUAUCUGGAGGGUGAGGAUGAGGUGGCGGCGGUCUACCAGACGCACUGCGCCCAGUCAGCCAACAAGGAAGAUGAAGUGGAUGCCGUCUUGAGCCAGCCCGUGCUGCUGAAGGUCACAAAGGGGGACAGCAUCACUGUGUGGGCCAGCCCCCUAAAGCUGAUAGACUAUGAGCUGAGACCCUCUCCCAGCUUCCUGACCCUUGUCAAGGUCUCAGAUCUGAAGGAAGGCAUGGGAAGCAAUGCAGUGAAGGGGGUGCCAGCUGUGGAGGGAGGUGAUGGAAUGUAGGAGUAAGGAGGGAGGCAAAGGAAGGGAGAUGAUGAGGAGGGAGGUGAUGGGAUGGAGACAUGAGGACUGACACUUCUGUGUUGUUUCCUGCUUCUCUUCAAAUAUGUGAACCAAACAAGCUGGAGCCAGACCUACUGCUGUGAGAAUGGUGGCCAGGAGCGGUCAACACCGCAUCCUGUUGAAAGCCUCUGGUGUUUGCCGCUAACCUGACUGACCACAGCUAAAGCAAGGGUUAUCGGUUCUGACCCUCUAGGGCUGCCGUGUCUCUUUCCUCUUAAAUGGUCCUUUAUGUAGUUCAUUGGGCAGUGUGUCAUCACGCUGAUCAUUUGUCACCUUUCUCUGUAAUUUUUCAGCUUGGCUACUAACCUCUUGUGUUAAGCCUGCAGGACUCAAGUCCAGGAAAACCACAGCUACACACUUGUGAGAUAAAAUAUUAAUAGUGGUGGAACCUUCCUGCUUCUCUUUUAAGAAAAUAUUGCUGGAAAAAGUCCCAGAAUAUCUUGUCAUAAAGAAACACUUUGCAAGCCAGGCUCUUGCAAAGUUUCGGAUUUGAAUUCUGAUGUAUGUCUUCAGGAGGUUGUUGCUUGGAGUUCUGCAGAACUGAAAUGUAGUAGCAGGAGGGUGAAUCUAAGUCCAGAGCACUGGUGCCUCCUACAGAGCCUCAAGCCCCACUGCAGGUUGUUGGCUGCUUGUCCCAAGUGGCAGUGACAUAUUACCCAGUGUGUAAAGAAAAGCUUUGCAGACUGUAAUGCACAGCUUUCCCCGAGCACAGAUGAGUGUGAUACACCAUUGGAAAUUAAUCUUAAAAAAUGACAUCUGAGGGAAGAAAACCUGUGUGGGGAAACUGCGUGACAACUACUUUUUUCUGUUUGCUUGCAGUAAUGGUAACCAUGAGAGGUACCCCAGAGAGAAAAAUACAAAGUACUGGAAACUGAAUCAAAACUAAACUGCCCCCACCACUCUCCACUGGUCUUUUCUGAAUGUUUUAAUCGUCACACCUCACUUUAGGCAAGAUUAGUUAAGGAGUGCACACUCAGGUGUGCCUGUCUUCUGUUUCCCACAUGCACUUUUGACUAACCAAGCCUUCUACCCCAUGAUUGCGUGAUGCCCUUCCUUGUACGUGUGUACACACUCACUCACUCACACUCUUUCAGAACCGCUUGUCCCAUACAGGGUCCCUUCCCUCUCCGGCCCUUCCUUGUAUUUUAAGCUUUAUUGCCUGAACUCACCACAGUAACAAAUGUGUAUAUUUAUAUAUUUAUAUCGCGAUAAGUGCUCGAGAUACAUUUUUAAAGUCAGCUGUCACAUACAGUGUGUUCCAAAAGCCACUGUAGCCACCUAUGGACCUUACAUUUUAUUUUUAUAGCUCACCACAGCAGUACAAAAAAGUAUUCAAAGCUCAUGUGACAUGUGGUUUGCAAUUAACAUUGUUUUUUGUUGAUGUUAUUAAUUAUGUAAUGUUUCAAUAGCUUUUUGCCAUUUUAUUUCAUGUUUUUCCACCCACUACAGCAGGGGUUCUUAACCUGUGGGGUGGGAGGUGCAAAAGGGGCACAGCAGAGCUCUGAGAUUCCUCCCAGAAAAUUAAUCACAUUGAUUCCUUGAUUAAUUUGGGGAAGGACAGGAGGUGUAAAUAUUAGGUUCACUUUCAGGUAGGGUGUGAGGGUAAAAGGGGGUAAAAGGCCUCUUCCAAAGAGUGCUCAUGACAUGUUCGUCUAUUUGUAAUUUUGUUGAAAGGCUACUUUUCUACAGCAGUUUACAGGAAGUUAAAACUAUGUUUUGUGAAUAUUUUGUAAAUUAUAUUUAUAAUUAUCUCUGCAUCAGUAACUGGUGUGCCUUCUGAAUGUGUUCUCCUGUCCCAGUGGGUGUCCAGGUUGUUUGUAUCACUGCAGAAUGUCACAAUUAAACUGUAACACAGAAAACCUUCUCCUUAAUAAAGGGAAACCGUCUUACA
ensembl:lncRNA